UACAGAGGGGGCAAGCGUUGUUCGGAUUCACUGGGCGUAAAGGGUGCGUAGGUGGUAAGGCAAGUCAGGUGUGAAAUCUCCGGGCUCAACCCGGAAAUGGCAUUCGAAACUACCUUGCUAGAGGGUUUGAGGGGGGACUGGAAUACUUGGUGUAGCAGUGAAAUGCGUAGAUAUCAAGUGGAACACCAGUGGCGAAGGCGAGUCCCUGGAAAACUCCUGACACUGAGGCACGAAAGCUAGGGGAGCAAACAGG
rnacentral:rRNA from 1 species